GCCUGAGUAGCUCAAUUGGCAGAGCAGCUGAUUUGUAAUCAGCAGGUCAAGAGUUCGAGUCUCUUCUCAGGCUCCA
rnacentral:tRNA from 2 species